rnacentral:rRNA from 1 species
CGGCAGAGUAACGCGUAGGAACGUACCCCAAAGUGAGGGAUAAGCCCGGGAAACCGGGUCUAAUACCGCAUAUUCUCUUCGGAGCAAAGCUACGGCGCUUUGGGAGCGGCCUGCGUCCGAUUAGGUUGUUGGUGAGGUAAAAGCUCACCAAGCCGACUAUCGGUAGCUGGUCUGAGAGGAUGAUCAGCCUGACUGGGACUGAGACACGGCCCAGACUCCUACGGGAGGCAGCAGUAGGGAAUAUUCCGCAAUGGGCGAAAGCCUGACGGAGCGACGCCGCGUGCAGGAGGAAGGCCUUCGGGUUGUAAACUGCUUUUACGAACGACGACUUCGACGGUAGCUCGUGAAUAAGGGUCUGCUAACUACGUGCCAGCAGCCGCGGUCAAACGUAGGACCCAAGCGUUAUCCGGAAUUACUGGGCGUAAAGAGUUGCGUAGGCGGCAUAGUAAGCAAACAGUGAAAGCGUGCGGCUCAACCGUACAGCUAUUGUUUGAACUGCUAAGCUAGAGCAUAGGAGAGGUAGCUGGAAUUGCUGGUGUAGGAGUGAAAUCCGUAGAUAUCAGCAGGAAC